UACGUAGGUGGCAAGCGUUGUCCGGAUUUACUGGGCGUAAAGAGCGUGUAGGCGGCCCGGUAAGUCCGCUGUGAAAGUCCAGGGCUCAACCCUGGGAUGCCGGUGGAAACUGUCGGGCUAGAGUCCGGAAGAGGCGAGUGGAAUUCCUGGUGUAGCGGUGAAAUGCGCAGAUAUCAGGAGGAACACCAAUGGCGAAGGCAGCUCGCUGGGACGGUACUGACGCUGAGACGCGAAAGCGUGGGGAGCAAACAGG
rnacentral:rRNA from 1 species